rnacentral:rRNA from 1 species
CUGCUCCUAGUACGAGAGGACCGGAGUGGACGAACCACUGGUGUUCGGGUUGUCAUGCCAAUGGCAUUGCCCGGUAGCUAAGUUCGGAACUGAUAACCGCUGAAAGCAUCUAAGCGGGAAGCAGGCCUCGAGAUGAGUUCUCACUGGAGCUUUAAGCUCCCUGAAGGGCCGUUGGAGACUACAACGUUGAUAGGCAAGGUGUGUAAGUGCUGUGAGGCAUUGAGCUAACUUGUACUAAUUACCCGUGAGGCUUAACCAUACAA